UACGAAGGGUGCAAGCGUUGUUCGGAAUUACUGGGCGUAAAGCGCGCGUAGGCGGGUCGCUAAGUCAGGGGUGAAAUGCCGAGGCUCAACCUCGGAACUGCCUUUGAUACUGGCAACCUGGAGUUCGGGAGAGGUGAGUGGAAUUCCGAGUGUAGAGGUGAAAGUCGUAGAUAUUCGGAGGAACACCAGAAGCGAAGGCGGCUCACUGGCCCGAUACUGACGCUGAGGCGCGAAAGCGUGGGGAGCAAACAGG
rnacentral:rRNA from 1 species